GUCGAUCGGCCUCUAAAUGGAGUUUUAUGCUAAUGUGGUUGCUUUGACAGAUGGAGGAAAUACAUCAUGCUACAACAUAAACAUGUUUUUUUCUUAUUACAAUAUUGUCACGAACAGGGCGAAGCAGCAAGUUACAAAUAAUAAUUGAAAGAUCGAAGCAUACAGAUGGUGUAUAUGAUAGAUGAAGCAGCCAUCUGUGUCACCCCGCUGAAGCUACAGCCUAGCUACUACUACUAGCAGGCCGUCCGAGAGAACGACAAGCUAGCUAGCCUUCUCGAUCGCUCACAAAACAAAACGACAAUAGACACACAUGCAAUCGAUCGAGAAGAAGACAUGCAACAAAAUGAUCCCCAGGACUAGUGGUCGUCGCCAUGCAUGAAAUCCUUUACGAUCUCGCUGACAAAUGCAGCGAUGGCGCUACCUGCAAUUAUGCUCCACAAACCUGUUCGUGGUGACGGAGCGGGGGACGGAGCGGGGGCCUCCGG
rnacentral:lncRNA from 1 species